rnacentral:rRNA from 1 species
GUCCUUUUGAAUUUAAUUGAAGGUCUGACCUGCCCAGUGAUUAAUUUAACGGCCGCGGUAUACUGACCGUGCAAAGGUAGCAUAAUCAUUAGUCUUUUAAUAGAGGGCUGGAAUGAAAGGUUUGACGAGGAAUUGACUGUCUCAUUUUAUUUGUUUUAGAAUUUAAUUUUUUAGUUAAAAAGCUAAAAUUUAAUUGGAAGACGAGAAGACCCUAUAGAUCUUUAUAUAAUCUUAUUUAAUUAUUUAAAUAUUAAUAUAUUUAAAUUAUGAUUAUAUUUUGUUGGGGUGACAAAAAUAUAUAAUUAACUUUUUUAUUUAUUUGCCAUUGAUAAAUGAAUAUUAGAUCCAUUCAUAAUGAUUGUUAGAAUAAGUUACCUUAGGGAUAACAGCGUAAUCCUCCUCCAGAGUUCAUAUUUACAGGAUGGGCUUGCGACCUCGAUGUUGGAUUAAGAUAAUAAUUAGGUGUAGCCGCUUAAUUUAUAGGUCUGUUCGACCUUUAAAUUCUU